UUAUGUACCACAUAAUAUAUAUCACAAAAUUCUUAAAAGGGGGACUGUUUGCAAGCAUCUCUUAUCUUAAAUACUCUCCAUAAGGCAGUUACAUGUUAUGUUAGAAAACUAAAAUAAUCCUAGACCCUAGACCCUUAAAUAAAAUAAACUAUUUAAAUAUUUCUAGGAAGAAACAAUUAGGCUUUUUCCUCCCUCUUAAAAACGUAUGGAUGUGUCUGGGGCCCUGGAAGACUCUAAAUGUUCAUUUUGCCUUUUUUGUGAUUUUAAAAAUAUUCUCGAUUUUGCCCUUUUGAGAAAUAAUGAGCAAAAGGGGGAAUUUUUGAACACCACGUAAAUUUUAAAAGUGUACUUUAAACAGUAUACAUGACUACAAUUGGGAAUACUAUAUGCUGAGUAGUAAUCUGUGAUUUAAGAUCACAGUAAUGCAUUGGCCAUAGCUCUUACUUGCUUUAGAGCGUUGAUUGUGUGCAUCUUUUCCCAGGUUCAUACUGAGUAAUGUCGUAUCAUAUUGAUAUCUUGAAAUUGAAUAUGGUGGAAUAUUUACAGCAUGGAAAUUGGCAAAUGAUACAAGCUACAAAUGCACCCCCUUCCCUACCCCAGCCAUUUGUUAAACAUUUAUCAGCACACCACUGCUUAAGGACUAAGAGUUCUGAAUAGGUGGCGGUCUUGUUUUGUUGAUCAGGCUGGUCUCAAACUCCUGGGCUCAAGGAGUACUGGCCUCCUGAAGUACUGGGAUUACAGCCUUGGCCUCCUGAAGUACUGGGAUUACAGAUGUAAGCCACUUCACCCAGCCUCACCCACUUUUACUUUUGUGCCUUGUGAUCUAUUUCUUUUAUUCUUUUUUUUAACUUUUAUUUUAGGGUCAGGGGUACAUGUACAGGUUUGUUAUAUAUGUAAAUUGCAUAUCACGGGGGUUUAGUGUACAGAUUAUUUCUCCACCCGGGUAAUAAGCAUAGUAACUGAUAGGUAGUUGUUUGAUCUUCACCCUUCUCCCUCCCUCCACCUUCAAGUAGGCAUUGGUGUCUGUUAUUCCAUUCUUUGUGUCCGUAUGUACUCAAAAGUUUAGCUCUCACUUGUAAGUGAGAACAUGUGGUAUUUGCUUUUCUGUUCCCGUGUUAGUUCACUAGGAUACUGGCCUCUGGCUCCAUCUAUGUAGCUAUAAAUGAUGUGAUCUUGUUCUUUUUUUGGCUGCACAGUAUUCUAUGGUGUUUGUGUACAACAUUUUCUUUAUCCAGUCCACCGUUGAUGGGCAUUUUGGUUGAUUCCAUGUCUUUGUUGUUGUGAAUAGUGCUGUGAUGCUGUGAUGAACAUACACAUGCAUGUGUCUUUAUGGUAGAAUGAUUUAUUUUCCUUUGGGUAUAUGCCCAAUAAUGGAAUCGCUGGGUUGAGAGGUAAUUCUGCUUUGAGUUCCUUGAGAAAUCGCCAAAUUGCUUUUCACAAUGGCUGAACGUGUGUGUUUAGUACACUGAACCUAAGAGAUUUGGCUUCUACUUUGCAGAAAAGCUACUCCUUUUGAAAGCAUACUCUCUCUCCUGCUCCUCCUCCUCUUUCUCUUCCUUUUUCCUCUUCUUUCCUCUCUCCCUUCCUCCCUUGCAUUGUACUGGCUUGCUUAGCAGUGAAUUUUAAGAUACAGCCUUCUAAAAAAAAAAUGGCUAGUUGUUGUGUAAGAUAUUUUACAGAGUCUAAACUCCUACAAAAAUAGGUCUAAGCCCAGUCCAGCCUGCCUGUAAAGUUUUCAUUUAAUUAUCAAAUUCAGCCUAUAUUUAGAAUAACAUUCUAAUUACACUGUUCACUUAGAUGUAUUUUUGUACUGAUUUUUUUAAAUUCACAGUUUCAUAGGGGAAACAGCCUCUUUUGAGGUUGAAAAAACAAUAUUUGUGCUGAAAAAUUUUAGUUGCUUUUUUCUUUUUUUUUUUAAAUUGUUGAAGAGAAAUUUUAUGAAAUUGUCAACUAAUUCUUUAUAAUAUAAAUAUAUAAACAUUUGUGGUAAUUCUUAUAAACAGUUCUGACCAAUUCCUUUCAUGAAAAGCAGUGUGCUCUGUAGUAAUUGCUAAGCAAACAGAAAGCUGUGUUGCAAAGUGGUUUUUUUUUGUUUUGUUUUGUUUUUAGCUUUUUUUUUUUUAAUUUUUUUUUUUUUUUAAUUGAUCAUUCUUGGGUGUUUCUCGCAGAGGGGGAUUUGGCAGGGUCAUAGGACAAUAGUGGAGGGAAGGUCAGCAGAUAAACAAGUGAACAGAGGUCUCUGGUUUUCCUAGGCAGAGGACCCUGCGGCCUUCCGCAGUGUUUGUGUCCCUGGGUACUUGAGAUUAGGGAGUGGUGAUGACUCUUAACGAGCAUGCUGCCUUCAAGCAUCUGUUUAACAAAGCAUAUCUUGCACCGCCCUUAAUCCAUUUAACCCUGAGUGGACACAGCACAUGUUUCAGAGAGCACAGGGUUGGGGGUAAGGUCACAGAUCAACAGGAUCCCAAGGCAGAGGAAUUUUUCUUAGUACAGAACAAAAUGAAAAGUCUCCCGUGUCUACCUCCUUCUACACAGACACGGCAACCAUCCGAUUUCUCAAUCUUUUCCCCACCUUUCCCCCUUUUCUAUUCCACAAAACCGCCAUUGUCAUCAUGGCCCGUUCUCAAUGAGCUGUUGGGUACACCUCCCAGACGGGGUGGUGGCCGGGCAGAGGGGCUCCUCACCUCCCAGUAGAGGCGGCCGGGCAGAGGCGCCCCUCACCUCCCGGACGGGGCGGCUGGCCGGGCGGGGGGCUGACCCCCCCACCUCCCUCCCGGUAGUUGCUUUUUUCUCCACCAGAUUUUAAAGUGAGAACUAUGUUGGAGGUUGCCAGGCCCUGCUAGGCUCAGUCAAUACAAGAAUCCUUCUGUAGCAUCAUGUAAUAUACCCAUGUAACAAACCUGCACGUGUACCCCUGAAUCUAAAAUAAAAGUUGAAAUUAUUUUAAGAAAAAGAAUACAUACAUUCAUAGAUACAUUUCCAUCUAUAAUUAUAUCUAUACUGAAAACCAUGAGUUCAACUGAUUCUAAUCCAGUAUUGUAAUUUCAUUCUAGUUUUCUCGCUUACCAUAUUUGUAAUUCCCUUCUCAGACAGUAAGAGACCUGGCUCCCAUUAUCCUUAAUAUCCUUACAAUUGAGUCUUAUUACUCACAGUAGUUACACUCUAUAAAGUCCCCGGGAACACCGAAUUACUAAAUACUGAACAACUGGUCAGAGAAGAAGCACAGAGUUUGGUUCCUCCAAGUCUCUGGUCACAGCAUUUCUAUCCACUGAUCAAUAUGUAACCUUCUUUUAUGUGUGUUUCUAUUUAAGGACCCUUACUUAAUAUAUAUUGUUCAUUCAUUAAAAUUAAACUCAUGGCCACAGCACUAUAACUCAUGCCUAACAAAGCUUAUCUAAUAUGUGUUGUCUCCAUAAGGCACAUCACAGCCUUCUUGUGCUUAAGAACGCUAGUCUGCACUUCAGCCCUAUGCUUGGGGCCAUUUUAAACAGUGAAAUCACCACAAAAAGCAAAAAAUGCCUUUUUAAAAAAUUUGGCAGUAAAUAAACUGUGGAAAAGAUACUUGUUUACAGUAUGAGAGCUGAAAUGAAACAAGAAGGCCUCAGCUGGGAAUGUGUAUAUCCAGCAACUUAAGUUUUUUGUUGCUAUGUGCAUGUCCAUGAAUGGUCAUGAAAGCAUCACAAGUAUUGAUUUUGAGGUUACAAAUACAUUUUACCAAGUAGGCAAAUUCUCAAAUAUGGAAUCCACAAACAAUGAGGAUCAAUUGUAUUUAUUUCAUGAAUGUCCUCAUUUGUAACCCAUCUCCUAUCGGUGCUGCCUCCCCACUCCACUGUGGGAAUGCCCUUCUCACCCUGCUCAGUCUCUGACACUCAGCUCUGGCUAUAGUGCCUGCCACCAUGCCCCCCUACCUUCUUCUCUUGCACUCUUGAACCCACCUGUUGACUUUAGGACUGAAUUAGGAAGAGAAAGGAGAAGGAUACUACUUCACUUUGAAAGUUUAAAAAGAAUCUGUCUAAAUCAAUGAGGCAUUUCAGAGGUAGGGAAGAAAUAAAACAUGUAUGUCUCACUGAGCUUAAGGAAUAAAGUAAUACGGAUACAAUUGAGGCACAUCUUUCCAUGUAUUCUUCCCCAAUUCCAUUCCCUUUCUCUCAAAGGUGGUUACUAUCUUCAUUUAUUUGUUUUUAUUCCUAUGCAUGUUUUUAUACCAUAAUAUAUUGUUUUGCAUAUUUUAAAACUUGAUAUAAAUGAUAUACUAUAUGUAGUGAUAUACGACUUGCAUUUGUUUCUGCUGAAUGUUUUUUAGAUUUUGCUAAAUUGAUACCUAUAUCUCUGGUUUGCUGAUUUUGCUUGCUGUAUCAUAUUCUGCUAUAUGAAUAUGAUACAUAAAUAUGUUAUUUCCCACUUUAAUUAUUACAAACAGUGUUGCAAUAAAUAUUCUUGUACAUGUCUCUUGUGAUACUAUAAGGGAGUUUUCUAAGACCUAUACUUAGAAGUAGAAUUGCUGGAUUGUUGGAUGUGAGUAUCAUCAACUUUACUGGAUAAUGUCAGUAUUAUUUUCCAAAGUGGCUAUACCAAUUUACACUCCCAGUAGCAGUAUGUGAAACUUCCCUUUUCUUUACAGCCUUAACAACACU
rnacentral:lncRNA from 1 species